CCCUUAUAUGUUCUGGGCAGCACGCGCGCUACAAUGGUCUUCGCAAACGGAUGCAUUCUCGAAGGAGAAUGCCAAUCUUGGAAUCUAUGCCUUGGUCGGGACAGUUGCUUGCAAUUUUUCGACUCGAACCAGGAAUUCCUUGUAAUCGUGAUUCAUCACAUCACGAUGAAUACGUCCCUGCCCUUUGUACACACCGCCCGUCGCUCCUACCGAUCGAAGAGUUAGGUGAAUUGUUUUGAUCGAUAAGAUUUGACUAUGGUCAACUCUCGUUGUGAAAUUCUGUGAAUCUGACUGUUUAGAGGAAGGAAAAGUCGUAACA
rnacentral:rRNA from 1 species